UGGUUUACCAGACCCGGAAGGCGCGGGCCUUAGUGGCGGACGGGUGAGUAACGCGUGGGGAACCUGCCCCGUACCGGGGGAUAACACCUGGAAACAGGUGCUAAUACCGCAUAACAGAAGGGGACGCAUGGUUUCUUUCUUGAAAACUCCGGUGGUACGGGAUGGACCCGCGUCUGAUUAGCUGGUUGGCGGGGUAACGGCCCACCAAGGCGACGAUCAGUAGCCGGCCUGAGAGGGCGGACGGCCACAUUGGGACUGAGACACGGCCCAAACUCCUACGGAAGGCAGCAG
rnacentral:rRNA from 1 species